UGGACACGUGCGAACUGUUGAAGCACUUGGCUGUGAACAGGAGCUCCGGCGGUGGUUCUUAUGUUUGGUGCACGUAGACCAGUGUACUCUUCAGAACUGAUGCACCAAGGAGAUUUCAGCUUCUGUCAUGGUCAAGAUUGUCAAAAGGCCAAGAAUGGAAGUACUCAAGCUGAUACAAGUGUUUCCAUGGUUACAUGCUCUCUGAUUGCAUCCCUGAUUUAGGAGCAUAGAGACCAAUGUUGGAGGCACUCAAGUUGAUUUAAGCAUCUUCCACGAUUACAAGCUCUAUGGCUGAAUCUAGGUGUUAGAGAAUGGAAAUCAAUAGAACAUCUCCCUAAACCCUCUUUAACUGAUAGAGUCAUCAACUACUUUAGUGAUGAGGACAAAGCAC